UAAAUGGAAAUUGAAGGCACAUCAUCUCAACCACUACCAUGUCAACUUACUUCAGAAGAAAGUUCACAUCAACCAUGAUUGAAAGUUGUAAUCCGUUAGCUAAUUUCUACACUAAAUGAAACUGUGCAAACACCACACGAUGAGACAAAUGAUAAUAUGACAGAUGAAAUACCCGAAGAUCGUAACAAUAGACUUAAAAGUAUUGUAUGGGAUCAUUUUACAAAGGUCAAAGUUGAUGGAAAAGAAAAAGCUAAAUGUAAUUAUUGCAAGAAAUUGCUUGGUGGGAGAGCAAGAGACGAGACCUCACACUUGCGCGAACAUAUGAAAAUAUGUACUCCACGUUUGUCUACCAUGAGACAUAAUAACGGACAAACAUUUCUUACCGCUAAGGUCUUUUAAGGUAAAAAGGAGUUGGGACUGGAAUUUAUGAUGCUGAAAAUGCUAGGAAAGAGCUUGCACAUGCAAUUAUUUUGCAUGAAUAUCCACUUUCAAUAGUGGAGCAUAUUGGUUUUAGGAGAUACUCAGCCUCUCUCCAACCAUUAUUUCAAGUUCCUUGUAGAAAUACUAUAAAAAAAGAGAUAUUCAAAGUGUAUGAAGUUGAGAAAACCAUAAUUUUGAAGUUGUUAGAAACUCUCCCACAAAGAGUGGCCAUUACUUCUGACAUGUGAACUGCGAGCAAUAAAAAAAAAAGGGUAUAUGGCUGUCACUGCUCAUUACAUUGAUGAAAAUUGGGAUCUACAAAGUCAAAUUUUGAGGUGAUUCAAAUUCUAAAGUGGAUAAUGAAAAUGCUAUUUUACUCAAUGAAAUAGAGUCUGGCGAUGAAGGUGAAUUGUUGAUCAGUGGUGUUACUUCACUUUCCAAUUCCCGUCUUGAAGAUGAAGAUGAAGAUGAUCGUCAGAAAAUGCUUAUUUAGAACCUUUUUGUUUUGAUGAUUUGGAACUUUUUACUGUUUUGAUUGAUUAGUUCGUUUGAACUUUGAAUAUUUAGAACUUUUGUUCUUUGUUGAUCAAAAUAUUAUGACU